GUCUUUUUGAUUAUAAUUUAAAGUCUGGCCUGCCCAAUGAGUAUUUAAAUGGCCGCGGUAAUUUGACCGUGCAAAGGUAGCAUAAUCAUUAGUUUUUUAAUUGAAAGCUGGAAUGAAUGGUCGGACGAGAAAAUAACUGUCUCAAUUUAAUUGAAUAUAGAAUUUUAUUUAUAAGUAAAAAAGCUUAUAUAAGUUUAAAAGACGAGAAGACCCUAUAGAAUUUAAUAGUUUAAUAUUUUAAUAUUUUUUAGGAUCAAUAAAUAUUGAUAAAUUAAAUUAUUUUGUUGGGGUGACAGAAAAAUUUAAGAAACUUUUUUUAUAUAAAAUCAUGAAUUAAUGAAUAAUUGAUCCGUUUAUUACGAUUAUAAGAUUAAAUUACCUUAGGGAUAACAGCGUAAUUUUUUUUUAGAGUUCUUAUCGAAGAAAGAGUUUGCGACCUCGAUGUUGGAUUAAAAUUAACUUUUGGUGUAGGGGCUAAAAGGUUAGGUCUGUUCGACCUUUAAAAUUUUACAUGAUCUGAGU
rnacentral:rRNA from 1 species